GAAUUUGUGGCCUAGUGGUUAGAGCGUCUGCCUCGGAUGCGGGAGGUCGUGGGUUCGAUCCCCGGCCGAGUCAUACCA